rnacentral:rRNA from 1 species
CACGCCCUAAACGAUGAUUACUCGACAUUAGCGAUAUUACUGUUAGUGUCUAAGCGAAAGCAUUAAGUAAUCCACCUGGGAAGUACGACCGCAAGGUUGAAACUCAAAGGAAUUGGCGGGGGUCCGCACAAGUGGUGGAGCAUGUGGUUUAAUUCGAUGAUACGCGAGGAACCUUACCUGGGCUAGAAUGCAUUUUGACCGCAGGUGAAAGCCUGUUUUGUAGCAAUACACAAUUUGUAAGGUGC